rnacentral:lncRNA from 1 species
CAUAGUUCUUUAAUGCUGCUAUUGCUUCUUGGCAUCUUCUCUUCCAUGGCAGCUGCAAAUUUUUACCAAAAUUUUGACAUUACAUGGGGAGAUGGCCGAGCUAAGAUUCUCAACAAUGGAGACCUUCUUACGCUUAAACUUGACCAAGCUUCUGGUUCUGGAUUUCAAUCCAAAAAUGAGUAUUUGUUUGGACAAAUUGACAUGCAACUCAAGCUUGUCCCUGGCAACUCCGCUGGCACCGUUACUGCCUAUUAUGUAACUAUUUCUUUCUCUCUUCUUUUUUUUUUUUUUUUUUUUUUUUGCUGUAAAUUUUUAAGUAUAUAUGUAUUCAUUCUGACUAAUAAUACUUGUGAAUUUGCAGUUAUCGUCAAAAGGGUCUACUUGGGAUGAGAUAGACUUCGAGUUCUUGGGAAAUUUGAGUGGAGAUCCUUACAUUCUCCACACCAAUGUGUUUAGCCAAGGCAAAGGAAACAGAGAGCAACAAUUCUAUUUAUGGUUCGCCCCAACUGCUGAUUUCCAUACCUAUUCCAUUCUUUGGAAUCCCCAACGCAUCAUGUAAGCAAGAAACUCUGUCAAAUCUUCAGCUUUUUGUCUUUUUAUCUUCAAUUUUAAUUUCUUUACUAAUAAGACAAUCUUCCUGCUCUGUUUUCAGCUUCUCCGUUGAUGGAACCCCAAUUAGAGAGUUCAAGAACUUGGAAUCCAUUGGAGUUCCAUUUCCAAAGAAUCAACCAAUGAGAAUAUACUCUAGUCUCUGGAAUGCAGAUGAUUGGGCUACAAGAGGUGGUCUUGUGAAGACAGAUUGGACUCAAGCUCCCUUCACUGCAUCUUACAGAAACUUCAAAGCAAAUGCUUGUGUAUGGUCUAAUGGAGCGUCUUCUUGUGGCACAAAUUCUGCAUCUAACACAACUUCUUGGCUUUCCGACGAGCUUGAUUCAACAAGUCAAGAGAGGCUCAAAUGGGUGCAAAAGAAUUACAUGAUAUAUGAUUACUGCGCUGAUGAUAAGAGAUUUCCGGAAGGAUUCCCUACGGAAUGCAGCAUGUCAUAAAAGAACGACGACAUACUGUUCAAUACAAAAAAAUUUUUCUUUUCUUUUUUAAUUUUUCAACAUAUGUUGAUUCUUUCUUUUUCUUUUCCCAUUCUUUUGCUCUAUUUAAUUGGAUUUAACAAAAUUAUUUCUACUAUGAUGUUUUGUUCAAUCUUAAAGAUGUUUUGAUGAAUGCUAUCCAGGUUGGAACGAAGCAUGGAUAGCAGAGCAACUAAAUUGGGAUAAGAGAUCUGAACUUUGAGAAUAUGAAUUUGAAUUUUAAGUUGCAUAAUUUAAAAAGAUUAAACAAGAUUUUUUACUUUACAAACUCAACCUCCCUCAAUAGCCUAUUGAACCGAACCAAAUGAAUCGAUUCAACACUCUUAAUUGCAAUUAUAAACACAGUUUUUUUUUAAAAUAAAUUUAUAUUUUUAAAUUCAGAAAACGUAUACAAGGUAUUCUUGUUAUUUAUGUACUUUUUUUAAAAAAAAAUUUCAAAUCUAAUUCUUAUGACAUCAUAUAUAGGCAUGUCAAGGGUUAAGUGAUUUUGGUUAGAUUCUGGUUUAAACUAAAAUUGACUAGUGUGAAUAAAUAAUAAUAAUAGAUUAACGAUAAAUAGCAAAUUAGGUCAAAGAAGGCAUAAACAAGCGCCUAACAAUUACUUUUUUGAAAAAUAAUUAUUUAGUCCUUCAGGUUUUACAAAUUUAAUUUUCUGAUCCUUAUACUUUAUACAUUAAGUAUUUAGCCUUAAACGUUUAAUUCAUCUCAUUAAAAGGUUUUUCGUCCGAAAUUCAUAGUUUUUAUUGUUAAAAGAGUGUGAAAAGACAAAUUACCUUGGAACAGAAAGAUCAAAACCCUUCACCUGUUAAAAGAAGACUAAACAAAAUUCACAAAAGUUCAAUUUUAAGAACUGAUUUACAAAUUUUAACUAUCAAAAUAUGCUCAAAGCAGAUGUUUUUCUAAUAGUCCAAGAGAGUUGAUUUUACAAAUAAGUAAACCAUUAAAAUACUCUAAACUUUGCAUCUUAUAACAAUUGCACUUUAAAUUCAACUUAAUGCCUCAGACACUCUAAUUAUAACUUUUUAUUAUAAUUGUACCUUAAUUUGAAAUUGGUGAAAAUUAGUGAAUAAAACAUAAUAAAUAUGGGUCCCAUAACUAAAAUUUCAGUGGAUUAACCCAAGGAAUGAGUUGGUUAAACUAUAUAAUACUCCAAACUUUGGUUAUUAGAACAAUUGUACCCAAAACGAUCCUAAUCCCUUAGAUACCCUAAUUUUAACUUUUUGUCACAACUACAUCUCAAAUUCAAAUUAUGACAAAUAUAAUGCUAUAAUUGCACCUUGAUUCAAAUUAGGGUCACAUUCAAUUACAAUUUCACUCUAAAUUCAGACUUCUUAAUGGAAUAAAUCCUAGAUUACUAGAGAAGAAGUGACCAAGAAGAGAUGAGUUCGGAAUAAAGUAAAUUAUAACAAACAUAUAAUCAUAAUUACACCCUAAAUUCAAAAUUUCAUCUCAUAUUGAUAUGCAAACCAUAGUUUACUCGAGAAAAUAUAUUGUCCCACAAAAAUAAUCUUAAACCUCCAAACACAAACUGCGACUAUAGAAAUUGUGAGUCACACAUUUUACACAUUAGGUUAGUUUAAUUUGAAGAGUUGGUUAAGUGAAAUGGUGUGUUUCAUGAACCUCUUCUAUCAAGCCAUUAUGAAACGUUUUACUUUAUUCUGAACUCAUCUUCUAUUGAUUACUUCUUCUCUAUUAAUCUAGGAUUUCUAUAUAAAAAUAAGAUAAAAUUUGAAUUUAAGGUGAACUUAUAUUAAAUGUGACCCUUAGUUUGAAUUUAGGGUGCAAUUAAAACAUUAUAUUUGUCAUAAUUUGAAUUUGAGAUGCAGUUGUGACAAAAAGUUAAAAUUGAAAUAUUUAAAGAUUAUUGUCGUUUUGGAGUACAAUUGUUACCAUAACUAAAGUUUGGGGUAUUAUAUAAUUUAGCGAACUCAUUCAUUGGGUUAAGUUAACUCAAGUAUGUGUUGUGGAGCCCAUAUUUAUUAUAUUUUUUUCACUAACUUUGAUGAAUUUCAAAUUAGGGUACAAUUAUAACAAAAAGUUACAAUUGGAGUGUUGAAGAGUUAAAUUGGAUUAAGAGUGCAAUUGUUACCAGACACAAAGUUUAGAGUUUUUUUAAUGGUUUACUCUUUUGCAAAUAACCCAUAACUGAGAAUUUCUAUUUAGUUUCAGAGAUUCACAAACAAAUAAAUGACCUAGUUUUUGAAAUGUAAUUUAUUAAGUUAAAUCUCAAAAUGAAUAUUCGGGUCUUAAUUUAUAAAAGAGUUGAGCAAAAGCAUAAUAUCAAAAAAUAGCAAUAAUGAGCCACAAUUAACAAUAAUGAAUAACAGAAAUAAUAUUUGGUUCUAAUCACAUCUGUUUUAUUUGAUUUAAAUAAUAUUUUCUUUUUCAUUGAGGGCACCUUUGGUCAUUAAAAAAAUUAUCUUAUGUCCUCUAUUUUGUCUUUUUGUACUUUUUUAAUUGUAAAUAUCAUGAAUUUCAGAGGGAAGAACUCUCGAUGAGAUGGAACCCAACCUUCAGGACUAAAUAUCUAACAUAUAAAAAUAUAAAGGCAAAAUAAUUAAUUCUGUAAAUACUCAGUGACUAAAUAAUUAGUUUCCCUUACUUUUUUAUUCUUCAAAACAGUUUCCAUGAAAAAUGUUUUUAGAUUUCAUAGUUGAAAAGAAUAAUUUACUGUGGUUUACGGAAAGGUAUAAACCUUCACAGCUAACUCUGAUCAACGGCUUUCUGUCGAGCUCAGACAGUAUUUGGUUUUGCACUUUCGCACGGAUCCUUACAAAACGAUCGAAAGCAUCAGGUCAGGUGACAGUCACACACCAACUCAACGCGUUUCGCGUCACGUAAUGUCUCUUUAGUGCGCCAUAUUUUAUUCACAACUACAACUGGCCACAGCUGAUGACUAAUACACCGUCACCGGACCUUCUUCCUUCCUUUGCCUUUCCUUUUCAAAUUCAAAUGGGUAUAAAUACCAACAUCAACUCAGCCUAUCUCCUCACUAAAAAAUCCUUUCUUUUACUCUAUACGUAGUUUCUAGCAAUCCUUGAGUUACCUAUCGAGAAAAAUUCAUCAUGGCUUCACAUAAUUCUUUAAUUCUGGUAAUGCUUCUCGGCAUCUUCUCUUCCAUGGCAACUGCAAAUUUCUACCAAAAUUUUGACAUUACAUGGGGAGAUGGCCGUGCUAAGAUUCUCAACAAUGGAGACCUUCUUACGCUUAACCUUGACCAAGCUUCUGGUUCUGGAUUUCAAUCCAAAAAUGAGUACUUAUUUGGACAAAUUGACAUGCAACUCAAGCUUGUCCCCGGCAACUCCGCCGGCACCGUCACUGCCUAUUAUGUAUGUACUUACUCUCUCUCUCUCUCUCUCUUUUUUCUGCAACUUUUCAAGUUUGUAUUCGUUUUGACUAAUAAUACCUGUGAAUUUGCAGCUAUCCUCAAAAGGGUCUACUUGGGAU